UCCCACGGUGCGAGGGCUCGGGAUAACCCCUUCGAUUUGGAACCCUAAAAAGAUCAUUUUUGUUCUUCUUCUUGUUCCUCGGAAGGCUCGAGAUUCCCGCGGUAGAGCGUAUAUUUCUGUGGGAUCACGGCGUUUCCACUUCUCCCAGGAUCAUUAACUGCUCUGCCUCCGGGAGUCCGGCGCAUUGCGGAACUCUCCAGCGUGCUUUGCCUUCUGCUCUCGUCCGUUGCCAUCGUUAUGCUGGAUGCAUUCCGUUCUUCGACUUGGGGAUUCCAGGUGAUUCUCAUGCUUAUCCUUCCUUGAUCAUUUUAUCGGUCGUCGAUGGGUCUUUCUUUCGUUCUUUGAUCGCAAGUAGUGUCGCUUCAACGCGCCAUUGUGAGCGGAUUGCCAAGCUUAUUCGCAUAACGGAAAGACAAGCUUUUCUUGGUACGUGACGAGGGUGCCAAAGAUCAACUCUCUAUGGAUGUUUUCAUGUACCAACAAGAAUUUGCGUGUAUUAUUCCGUAAACUAUUCUCGAAUGACCAAUAUAUUGCUUCAAGGCUAGCGAGGGUAAUCGUUCGCCACUUCUAUGGAGUCUACACAGCUCACAAACGCGCACUGUAUAUCGCUGUGGGAUAUUGCACAGUGCAGCAGCAUCACCCAAUGCAUCAUAGGUUAUGGAAUCCCAAGGAACACAUCCAAGAAGAUCAACAGCGAAGCUACCCUUCAGAUAGCUGCAACACAGGAAUCAAUUUCCAGUCUUAAGUCCCAGACAAAGUGUUCAUUUUUGCAGGAUUAUAUUAAAGUAUGCAAUGGUAACCGAUCAAAGGUGUUAUGAACUAGUGGUUUGCUGCUUUUGUCCAUUUAUAUGCAGUGAUUGAGCUUCUCCAAUCUCAGGGGUAAACAGUGUUGGAAGUGUCUCCACUUCUACAUGGAUGAACUGUCCUAUAACUGGAAUGAAAGGUGUUCCUCCUAAAGGAUACUCGUAAAUGAGAAUUGGCAUUGAAAUGGCUCUAUCUUUUGUGUCAUGGUGUCAACCUUGUUGUCAUUCAAGCUGGUGGAUAAGUUGUAUCAAUACUUGGUUUCA